GGGCCUGUAGUCUAGCUUGGAUAGGACUGAAGGUUGCGGACCUUCAAGCUCGGGUUCAAAUCCCGGCGGGCCCG
rnacentral:tRNA from 1 species